rnacentral:rRNA from 1 species
AGUCUGGUGCCAGCAGCCGCGGUAACACCAGCUCCAAUAGCGUAUAUCUAUGUUGCUGCAGUUAAAAAGCUCGUAGUUGGAUAUCUCGUUUGGAUGCCUGGCUCGCCUUUAAUCGGGUUGAGUGCCGGUGCAACCGUACGAUCCUUCCUCUGAUAUAGCUGCUUGCAGUCGUGUCGAGGAUCUUUUACUUUGAGAAAAUUAGAGUGUUCAAAGCAGGCGUUUGCUUGAAUACAUUAGCAUGGAAUAAUAAAAUAGGACUCCGGUUUUAUUUUGUUGGUUUUAGGAACCAGAGUAAUGAUUAAUAGGGACAGUUGGGGGUGCUUGUAUUGGGCGGCCAGAGGUGAAAUUCUUGGAUUCGCUCAAGACAAACUUAUGCGAAAGCAUUCACCAAGGAUGUCUUCUUUAAUCAAGAACGAAAGUUGGGGGAUCGAAGACGAUCAGAUACCGUCCUAGUCUCAACCAUAAACUAUGCCGACUAAGGAUCAGUGGACGUUAUUAUAGACUCCAUUGGCACUUUACGAGAAAUCAAAGUCUUUGGGUUCCGGGGGGAGUCUGGUCGCAAGGCUGAAACUUAAAGGAAUUGACGGAAGGGCACCACAAUGGCGUGGAGCCUGCGGCUUAAUUUGACCCAACACGGGAAAACUUACCAGGUCCGGACAUAGGAAGGAUUGACAGAUUGUAGAUCUUUCUUGAUUCUAUGGAUGGUGGUGCAUGGCCGUUCUUAGUUGGUGGAUUGAUUUGUCUGGUUAAUUCCGUUAACGAACGAGACCACAGCCUACUAACUAGUCAUCCGAAUCGUUCGAUUCGGUAUGAUCUUCUUAGAGGGACUAUCUGUUUCUAGCAGAUGGAAGUUUGUGGCAAUAACAGGUCUGUGAUGCCCUUAGAUGUCCUGGGCUGCACGCGCGCUACACUGUUGCACUCAGCGAGCUUUUACCCUUGAUCGAAAGAUCUGGGAAAUCUUUGAAAGUGCAACGUGCUGGGGCUAGAUUAUUGCAAUUAUUAGUCUUAAACCAGGAAUGCCUAGUAAACGCGAGUCAUUAGCUCGCAUUGAUUACGUCCCUGCCCUUUGUACACACCGCCCGUCGCUCCUACCGAUUGAAUGAUCCGGUAAAAUCAUUGGACUAGAUAAUAGCUUGGGUAACCUUCUUUUGUUUGGGAAGAU